rnacentral:rRNA from 1 species
UACGUAGGGGCCGAGCGUUGUCCGGAGUUACUGGGCGUAAAGCGCGCGCAGGCGGCUUCGCGCGUCCGACGUGAAAGCCCCCGGCUCAACCGGGGAGGGUCGUUGGGUACGGCGGAGCUUGAGGGCGGUAGAGGUUGGUGGAAUUCCCGGUGUAGUGGUGAAAUGCGUAGAGAUCGGGAGGAACACCUGUGGCGAAGGCGGCCAACUGGGCCGACCCUGACGCUGAGGCGCGAAGGCGUGGGGAGCGAACGGG